AUGGAUUUGUUGCUAGUUCCUUAUUCAUCAGAUCCAGGGCUGAAGAUUAUUCAGUGGCCACCUUUUUUGCUUGCUAGCAAGGAUAAUUAGCAUCAUUAUUAAAGAAGUUGAAAGUAGCAUCUCAAAAAAUCAGCUUCUUGCAAACUUCAGAAUGGGUCCUUUACCUACUCUUUGCAAGAAAUUUGUGGAGCUUGUAGAGAUCUUGAAAGACGCUGAACCAUCCAAUAAAGAUACAGUGGUGUUGUUGCUGCAAGAUAUGUUGGAAGUUGUCUCCCGUGACAUGAUGGUGAAUGA